AAAAUAGAGAAAACCGGAAAAAAGAGGGAUGCAACACGAGGACUUUCCGGGAGGUCACCCAUCCUAGUACUACUUUCGCCCAAGCACCCUUAACUGCGGAGUUCUGAUGGGAUCCGGUGCAUUAGUGCUGGUAUGAUCGCAUGUGUUACUACAUGCAAUGUAAUCAUAUUUCUUGUUAUUUAAAGAUUUUAUGAUCCAUUUGCCGUGGGUCCCACCAUCUAUGUAGGAAUACCUUAUCUUCUUUAUAGGAGCUUUGAUACAUGCAAAAUAUUGGAAAACAAUAUCCGAACAUAUAUCUUUCCCCCCGUAAUAUAGCAAAGAUCGCGAAAAGGCCCGAAAAAGUACAUUUAGGUCAAAAUUUGGAGAGGAAAAAAAAAGCAAUAGAAGAAUUCCAUUUUCCUUCCUCAGUCAUCGGAGAGCUCUCUUUGGGCUUUCCGAAAAGGUAUCACAUGCCAAGUUUGGCCUCAUGGUCUAAAAGUUAUAGAGCCAUACAUUUUUAACAAAACAAAAUAGAGAAAAACCAAAAAAAGAGAGGGAUGCAACACGAGGACUUUCCGGGAGGUCACCCAUCCUAGUACUACUCUCGCCCAAGCACCCUUAACUGCGGAGUUCUGAUGGGAUCCAGUGCAUUAGUGCUGGUAUGAUCGCAUGUGUUACUACAUGCAAUGUAAUCGUAUCUAUUCUUUUUUAAAGAUUAUAUGAUCCAUUUGCCGUGGGUCCCACCAGCUAUGUAGGAAUACCCUAUCUUCUUUAUAAGAGCUUUGAUACAUGCAAAAUAUUGGAAAACAAUGUCCGAACAUAUAAUUUUCCCCCCGUAAUAUAGCAAAGAUCACGAAAAGGCCCAAAAAAGUACAUUUAGGUCAAAAUUUGGAGUUGAAAAAAAACAAAAAGAAGAAUUCCAUUUUCCUUCCUCAUUCAUUGGAGAGCUCUCUUUGGGCUUUCCGAAAAGGUAUCACAUGCCAUGUUUAGCCUCACGGUCUAAAAGUUAUAGAGUCAUACAUUUUUAACAAAACAAAAUAGAGAAAAACCAAAAAAACGAGGGAUGCAACACGAGGACUUUCUGGGAAGUCACCCAUCCUAGUACUACUCUCGCCCAAGCACCCUUAACUGCGGAGUUCUGAUGGGAUCCGGUGCAUUAGUGCUGGUAUGAUCGCAUGUGUUACUACAUGCAAUGUAAUCGUAUCUAUUGCUUUUAAAGACUUUAUGAUCCAUUUGCCGUGGGUCCCACCAGCUAUGUAGGAAUACCCUAUCUUCUUUAUAAGAGUUUUCAUACAUGCAAAAUAUUGGAAAACAAUGUCCGAACAUAUAAUUUUCCCCCCGUAAUAUAGCAAAGAUCACGAAAAGGCCCAAAAAAGUACAUUUAGUUCAAAAUUUGGAGUAGAAAAAAAAAUAAUAGAAAAUUUCCAAUUUCCUUCUUCAUUCAUCGGAGAGCUCUCUUUGGGCUUUCCGAAAAGGUAUCACAUGCCAAGUUUGGCCUCACGGUCUAAAAGUUAUAAAGUCAUACAUUUUUAACAAAACAAAAUAGAGAAAAACGGAAAAAGAGGGAUGCAACACGUGGACUUUCCGGGAGGUCACCCAUCCUAGUACUACUCUCGUCCAAGGACCCUUAACUGCGGAGUUCUGUUGGGAUCCGUUGCAUUAGUGCUGGUAUGAUCGCAUGUGUUACUACAUGCAAUGUAAUCGUAUCUAUUCUUUUUUAAAGACUUUAUGAUCCAUUUGCCGUGGGUCCCACCAACUAUGUAGGAAUACCCUAUCUUCUUUAUAAGAGCUUUGAUACAUGCAAAAUAUUGGAAAACAAUGUCCGAACACAUAAUUUUUCCCCCAUAAUAUAACAAAGAUCACGAAAAGGCCCGAAAUAGUACAUUUAGUUCAAAAUUUGGAGUAGAAAAAAAACCAGUUUAAGAAUUCCAUUUUCCUUCCUCAUUCAUCGGAGAGCUCUCUUUGGACUUUCCGAAAAGGUAUCACAUGCCAAGUUUGGCCUCACGGUCUAAAAGUUAUAGAGUCAUACAUUUUUAACAAAACAAAAUAGAGAAAAACAGAAAAAAGAGGGAUGCAACACGAGGACUUUCCGGGAGGUCACCCAUCCUAGUACUACUCUCGCCCAAGCACCCUUAACUGCAGAGUUCUGCUGGGAUCCGGUGCAUUAGUGCUGGUAUGAUCGCAUCUGUUACUACAUGCAAUGUAAUCGUAUCUAUUCUUUUUUAAAGCUUUUAUGAUCCAUUUGCCGUGGGUCCCACCAGCUAUGUAGGAAUACCCUAUCUUCUUUAUAAGAGCUUUGAUACAUGCAAAAUAUUGGAAAACAAUGUCCGAACAUAUAAUUUCCCCCCUCGUAAUAUAGCAAAGAUCACAAAAAGGCUCGAAAAAGUACAUUUAGUUCAAAAUUUGGAGUAGAAAAAAACCAACAGAAAAAUUCCAAUUUCCUCCCUCAUUCAUCGGAGAGCUCUCUUUGGGCUUUCCAAAAAGGUAUCACAUGCCAAGUUUGGCCUCACGGUCUAAAAGUUAUAGAGUCAUACAUUUUUAACAAAACAAAAUAGAGAAAAACGGAAAAAAGAGGGAUGCAACACGAGGACUUUCCGGGAGGUCACCCAUCCUAGUACUACUCUCGUCCAAGGACCCUUAACUGCGAAGUUCUGAUGGGAUCCGUUGCAUUAGUGCUGGUAUGAUCGCAUGUGUUACUACAUGCAAUGUAAUCGUAUCUAUUCUUUUUUAAAGACUUUAUGAUCCAUUUGCCGUGGGUCCCACCAGCUAUAUAGGAAAACCCAAUCUUCUUUAUAAGAGCUUUGAUACAUGCAAAAUAUUGGAAAACAAUGUCCGAACAUAUAAUUUUCCCCCAUAAUAUAGCAAAGAUCACGAAAAGGCCCGAAAAAGUACAUUUAGUUCAAAAUUUGGAGUAGAAAAAAAGACAGUAAAAGAAUUCCAUUUUCCUUCCUCAGUGAUCGGAGAGCUCUCUUUGGACUUUCCGAAAAGGUAUCACAUGCCAAGUUUGGCCUCACGGUCUAAAAGUUAUAGAGUCAUACAUUUUUAACAAAACAAAAUAGAGAAAAACGGAAAAAAGAGGGAUGCAACACGAGGACUUUCCGGGAGGUCACCCAUCCUAGUACUACUUUCGCCCAAGCACCCUUAACUGCGGAGUUCUGAUGGGAUCCGGUGCAUUAGUGCUGGUAUGAUCGCAUGUGUUACUACAUGCAAUGUAAUCAUAUUUCUUGUUAUUUAAAGAUUUUAUGAUCCAUUUGCCGUGGGUCCCACCAUCUAUGUAGGAAUACCUUAUCUUCUUUAUAGGAGCUUUGAUACAUGCAAAAUAUUGGAAAACAAUAUCCGAACAUAUAUCUUUCCCCCCGUAAUAUAGCAAAGAUCGCGAAAAGGCCCGAAAAAGUACAUUUAGGUCAAAAUUUGGAGAAGAAAAAAAAAGCAAUAGAAGAAUUCCAUUUUCCUUCCUCAGUCAUCGGAGAGCUCUCUUUGGGCUUUCCGAAAAGGUAUCACAUGCCAAGUUUGGCCUCAUGGUCUAAAAGUUAUAGAGCCAUACAUUUUUAACAAAACAAAAUAGAGAAAAACCAAAAAAAGAGAGGGAUGCAACACGAGGACUUUCCGGGAGGUCACCCAUCCUAGUACUACUCUCGCCCAAGCACCCUUAACUGCGGAGUUCUGAUGGGAUCCAGUGCAUUAGUGCUGGUAUGAUCGCAUGUGUUACUACAUGCAAUGUAAUCGUAUCUAUUCUUUUUUAAAGAUUAUAUGAUCCAUUUGCCGUGGGUCCCACCAGCUAUGUAUGAAUACCCUAUCUUCUUUAUAAGAGCUUUGAUACAUGCAAAAUAUUGGAAAACAAUGUCCGAACAUAUAAUUUUCCCCCCGUAAUAUAGCAAAGAUCACGAAAAGGCCCAAAAAAGUACAUUUAGGUCAAAAUUUGGAGUUGAAAAAAAACAAAAAGAAGAAUUCCAUUUUCCUUCCUCAUUCAUUGGAGAGCUCUCUUUGGGCUUUCCGAAAAGGUAUCACAUGCCAUGUUUAGCCUCACGGUCUAAAAGUUAUAGAGUCAUACAUUUUUAACAAAACAAAAUAGAGAAAAACCAAAAAAACGAGGGAUGCAACACGAGGACUUUCUGGGAAGUCACCUAUCCUAGUACUACUCUCGCCCAAGCACCCUUAACUGCGGAGUUCUGAUGGGAUCCGGUGCAUUAGUGCUGGUAUGAUCGCAUGUGUUACUACAUGCAAUGUAAUCGUAUCUAUUGCUUUUAAAGACUUUAUGAUCCAUUUGCCGUGGGUCCCACCAGCUAUGUAGGAAUACCCUAUCUUCUUUAUAAGAGUUUUCAUACAUGCAAAAUAUUGGAAAACAAUGUCCGAACAUAUAAUUUUCCCCCCGUAUAUAGCAAAGAUCACGAAAAGGCCCAAAAAAGUCCUUUAAGGUCAAAAUUUGAAGUUGAAAA
rnacentral:sRNA from 1 species